AAUGAAAGAGAAAUAGUAAAUUCUCCUGCGGGUGGCGAAUCAGGAGGGAACGGCGCCAGCCUAGCCCGAGGAUGGAGGCUGAGGCCGCCUGUUGAGUCACAUUUUCAAGGCCACUGCAGGAAAGGAAAGUGAGGCAUGAGAGUGAAUCAAGGUUUUGGCAGAGUUCAAAGACUGGGAAGCAAAGUUCAGCCAUGUUGGGCCUUUGGGCUCAUAGAUGAGCAAGGGUACCCCAAUAUGAGGGCUCAGCAAAUUCUGGAACUUAUCAGUUCUGAAGACCUUUAGAGGAGAAGGAGACAAGUAAAAGGAGGAUGUGAGGAACCAGGAAUUGAGAUUGGGUUGGCCUUGCGUAUUGGCAAUGAAACAGGCUAUUUUUGACAUUGAGUUGUCCAGCAUUCUCUAAGGUGAGGCUAUGUUGCAUGUUGGAAAGAUUUAGCGAAUAACAGAGGCAGGCUCCACUCGUUUCCCACUGGGAAAGGCAAGAGCAGGUAUGUAGUCCUGGAGGGCGCUGCUUAAUGAACCAGAAGUCCUGCCUCUUAAGUACCUCACCAGCUCAAAUGUGUGCAUGUCACCUUGGCGUGAAUCGGAGCAGGCGCUGGUGGAUACCGUUUGGAGGCAUGCCAGCAAGGAGCUCCUUGUGUAGCCUGCCUCUGGAGCCUCAAGUUCAACUUCCAUAGGGCCAAAAGGGGAGUCGGGCUGGGCAGAAGCUCCUGAGAACCAAAGCAAAUGGUCUGAGAGUCUGAGAGUGUAGUGGAGGUCAAGACACUGCUAUUUCUGAAUCACUCUCCAAUCCCUAGGGAAAAAUUGCCAGGAACCACUGCAGAAGGGCUAUACCUUUGCUCUGCCCAAAGCUGUGGCUGGUUAUCUGCUGGACUAAGAGCUGUGGGCAUUGGCUUAUUAUCUGCUGGACUAAGGGAGGUACAGGAAGGGGGUGUAAACUGUGAUCCUCUUCCUUGAGUGAGAUGGAAAAAAAUUAAUUUGCCGCAUCAGUGUCCAUAUCUCA
rnacentral:lncRNA from 1 species